UGCACUGCAUUGUGUCAAUAAACCCUGAGUCAAAUUCUCUAAUUGCCUUGGAUUGCAGCUGUAGAAAGUACAAAGAUAAAAGGAAUUCUCUACAGUAGCAUAAUUAUCUAAAAUGUUGUCCUUUGACAUUCUAUGACUUGGAGCAUAGCACAAGUGAAAACUUACAAGAAGCAAUGGUAACUUUAUUGCUAUUAUGAAAGCUUUGAGGCUGUGUGGUUGUUAGGUUACUGAAGCAAAGUAGGGGUAUAAUAGAUAGCCUCUAGUCAUCCAAAAUGGACAGUGAUGGAUGAUGUAGUUUGGCCAGUUUAUAUAUCUUUUCAGCAUUUCCAGGUAUGACAUGGUACAGUCCUCAAGUGGAAUCAUCCUGGCUCAAUAGUUCUACCUGAAACCUUUAGGUGAGCCACAAGAAUCCAGCCAUCCCUGCAAAUGUGUGUUCUGACACCGAUAGAAUCGUCCUUUCCUGUCUACUGCUUCUCUCCUGUCCUGAGUUGAUUUGGACACAAACGACAUCAGUUGCUUCCAGAAAGAUUGCUGCCAAGAUCCCUCCUGAGCACACUGCUUCUUUCUCCCCUAAUAGUCAUCACGGAGUUGGGACCACUGAACUCUGCUCUGCACCCUCACUCCCACCAUUCAGUUAACAACAGUACCAUGUGAGGUAAGCUG
rnacentral:lncRNA from 1 species